GGGGGGAAAAUCUAAAAACAAAAAGAGUUUGGAGAGCCUGAAAUUUUUACUGUUCCAUUGAAACUUGGAAUUUUUCUGAAAAUAAAGCCCCCGUUCUGAUAUUCACCAUGGGUUGAUGUUUGGUUGUUAAAAGUUUUGAAUCAAGUUGAUCAAGGAUCAAUCGUCUGUUGGGUUUUAAGUUGAUUUAUGGGUUUUGUUUGUAAAAUCUGGUAGGUUUCUACUGCUGAUUGCCU
rnacentral:lncRNA from 1 species